UACGAAGGGGGCUAGCGUUGUUCGGAAUUACUGGGCGUAAAGCGCACGUAGGCGGGCGAUUAAGUCAGGGGUGAAAUCCCGGAGCUCAACUCCGGAACUGCCUUUGAUACUGGUCGUCUAGAGAUCGGAAGAGGUGAGUGGGAAUUCCCAGUGUAGAGGUGAAAUUCGUAGAUAUUGGGAAGAACACCAGUGGCGAAGGCGGCUCACUGGUCCGAUACUGACGCUGAGGUGCGAAAGCGUGGGGAGCAAACAGG
rnacentral:rRNA from 1 species